GACGGGGGGGGCAAGUGUUCUUCGGAAUGACUGGGCGUAAAGGGCACGUAGGCGGUGAAUCGGGUUGAAAGUGAAAGUCGCCAAAAAGUGGCGGAAUGCUCUCGAAACCAAUUCACUUGAGUGAGACAGAGGAGAGUGGAAUUUCGUGUGUAGGGGGUGAAAUCCGUAGAUCUACGAAGGAACGCCAAAAGCGAAGGCAGCUCUCUGGGUCCCUACCGACGCUGGGGUGCGAAAGCAUGGGGGAGCGAACAGG
rnacentral:rRNA from 1 species